CUCCUGUCGCCGUCUGCUCUGCAGUGCCUGUAGAGCGGAGCAAACACAGACUAAUUGCAGUGAACACUAGCAUUAUUCUAUGGAGGGAUGAAUGCAAAUGCUCUACUGAUAUGAAAGAUGAAAAGCUAGUGGAGAAGUAGGAGAGCAAAGGACAGACAUGUUAGAUAUAUGGAACCAUCUUUAGAUGGCAGAGGUACCACUGCCUGUCAAGAGCAGCCAGGGUAUUCCACCAACAGGAUACACCCUUCAAACACCAUUACGACAUGCCACUACUCCUGCAUUGGUCCUAUAAUUGAUGGAGGUGUGUUAUGAACCAUAUUAGAAUGUCCUGAAGCCUGUUAGGAUGUAAGAUCAGUACCAAGAAUGUUGUACACUGAUCAAGGAACGUCUACACCAUCAACCCAAUACAGAAAUGAAACAUAUGGCACAGGACAUGAGAUAAUCCAAGAGAACCAACAUUUGGUUCAAAGGUUACAGAAGAAGGCUGCCCUCAGUUCUUAUGAUGUGGAUCACCCAGCAUCAGAGGAAUACGAGAAGAUUAAUUGGAUACAAUAGAAAAUUUUCCCCAAAU